ensembl:lncRNA
AUGACCAUCAGUGAUCAACCCACAGCUGAACGCUUGAAAAGCGCCGCUUCAGGCAUCAGUGUGUUGUUUCCAGGAGUUACGAUGGCAACCAAAGGAAAAAGGAAGCGCUCCUCUCUUUGCUUGGCUGUGAUUCUUUUCUUCGUUUCGCAUUUUGCGCGAACGGCGGAAAGUUUUCGGCUGAGUAAAACAGAAAAAAGCGCAGCAGCGGCGGAUUUCAAGCCCGGGAGGAUCGUGUUCGGGAAUAUCUUUGACAAAACGUCCGGAGUCGACGCGCCGGUCGAGGAUGGAGCCCACAUCUCGCCCUCUUCCACAGAGGGGGACGUCAACUACCAGAGCGACAACUCUGGCCUCCAAACCCACAUUCCCGAUAACAUGAAGUUCAUGAACCCUUCUGUGCUGUGCGGUCUGAACAAGAUGAAGUUCAUGGCUCAGGGAGCCGAUGCCCAGCAGUUUUCGAUGGAUCCAGGAGUUACGAUGGCAACCAAAGGAAAAAGGAAGCGCUCCUCUCUUUGCUUGGCUGUGAUUCUUUUCUUCGUUUCGCAUUUUGCGCAAACGGCAGAAAGUUUUCGGCUGAGUAAAACAGAAAAAAGCGCAGCAGCGGCGGAUUUCAAGCCCGGGAGGAUCGUGUUCGGGAAUAUCUUUGACAAAACGUCCGGAGUUGACGCGCCGGUCGAGGAUGGAGCCCACAUCUCGCCCUCUUCCACAGAGGGGGACGUCAACUACCAGAGCGACAACUCUGGCCUCCAAACCCACAUUCCCGAUAUCAUGAAGUUCAUGAACCCUUCUGUGCUGUGCGGUCUGAACAAGAUGAAGUUCAUGGCUCAGGGAGCCGAUGCCCAGCAGUUUUCGAUGGAUCCAGGAGCUUCUGGACUGCCUGUACCACUACCCAAUGUCUCCCCCAGUUGUGGCUAUGACACACAGUGGAAUUCCCCUUCACUGUCCAUGGUAGUUCCUUAUAAUGGCUGUUUCAUGAUUAUCACGGGUGGAUACUACGUGCUGCCGAUGCUUUGGUACAACAUACAGUUUUCACUGUGGUGCCCAAUGUCUUCAUGGGGUCAGCCACCUCUGCUGCAAGCUGCCGCCACAACCCCCCCACCGGUGUCACAGCCUCAGUAUUAUCCUUUCUGGAACGUUCCUUUUCAGAUGCCUCAACAUGUCAAACAUCCCCCCUGGAGCCUUCCUUCUGGGCAGAUGCCUCAAGCCAUGCCGUUCCCAAACCUGCCUUUCUGGAAUCCCCAUUUUUACCCAACCAUGAUGCCAAAAACCACAACCACACCUCCAUCUCAGACAAGUACUUUGCCAAGCCCUGGUGGACAGGUCCCAUUUAAUCCUAUACAAUUACCCUAUCCAUGGGGUUUUCCGAUGUUUCCACCAGGUGGUGCGUUCCCAGUUAAAACAAAGCCUAAUCAGCCGAUGCCUCCAUUUGGUGCUGGUUAUCCCUUACCAAUACAAUGUUCCACCUGUGUUUCAAAGAUGUAGGGAGCUGCAUGUUACUGAACUUGCUGUUUUAGACAUGUAUUGACCAAUAAAGUGAAAAUCCAGAGUAAAUGUGUCCUGACUUGUGAUUUACUGCUUUAAAAGGGUCCUUUAAAAUUUCUUUUGGAUUAUGCUGUCAUGACGUGGCUGCAUUCCUGAGAUGAGAUCUUCUUGGGCUUUAGCAGUGACUGGGAACUCAUUGAGAUGUAAUGCUACUCACACUCAGUACAGUGCCUAAUUGUCAAAUAUUGCACAAAGGCAAUGCCAUUUCCUCUUGAGGCUUGAUUCCUAACUGGAUGGUUAGGCUAACACACAGCUUCACAAUGGCCUGUUUGGUAUUGUAGAAAACUCCUACAUCUAAUGUAAAUUUGUAGGUGUAAGACGCAGAUCUCAUUCAACACAAGGGGGAUACUUUUUGCUACACGGGUAGCAAACAUGCAAUGUGUUCAUGCAGUCAAUUAGAGGCCAAAUCAUUAUCUGAGGUCAUCAAUUCACAGGGCUGCUGUAGUGAAGACUCGCAGCUCUGAUUCUAUUCAUCCAGCUGCCCUGAGAAGUUUGAGUUCUCAUGUAACAUAAAAAGGCAAAAUUAUUGUAACUUAUCUGUUACAAUGGUCCUCGAACAUUGUAAACUGACCAACUUAAUGGAAUGAAAGAUCCAUGCAUCCUUUCUACUAGACCAGUACAGGUCAGAAACAUAAACCUGAGUCUACACAGUUCAAAAUGCCCUUCUCAUCCUCCAUUCCAUUUUCCUGUCUGUCCAUCAGCUUCCUCUCCUCACUACGCGGCCUGUAAGCUCGUGACGUCACAUAACCCACUUGGGUGUUACGGUGCCUGAUUCUUAAUCUUGUUUUUAUGACCUGCCCUUUCCUGUUAUUUCACGUCCUUGGUCAGUUGACCCUCCUUUGUACUGAGAAAAGAUGCCUCUCCUUGACCUCUGCUUCCCAACUCUGUUGCCACCACUCAUUUGCUUUUUCCAUACGAUAUUUUUGCCUUCUGACUUUGACAAUUGAAUUUCUCUUUCAACAAUGCUUCUCUUCACUGCUUCCUUUGCCACUUUGUUUGCCCUCAUUUCCAGAGAUCUCAUGUGAGCUGGGGUCCACAGAAACACAACACAAAGCCCCAUCCCUACACAUUUCCCACACACUGCUAUGAAGCAUACUUUGACUGCAGCCAAUGAGAGCAAAGUCUCUUGACGAGCUCACCUGUUGCAAAUGAAGACAGGUGUAAGUCUUUGACGUGAGUAUUGAAGAGAGUCGUUCUGUUGUUCUUGUGCAGUUCCAGGAUGGUGGGUGUCAGGCUCAGCCGAGUGACUCUCGCCUUCACUUUAGUCCUGUGUACUUGGGUCAAGAGUUCAACCUGUUUUGGUCUGCAUUGGUUGGACAAGAACG